rnacentral:lncRNA from 1 species
CCCCUCCCCCGCCCCGCUGCUUGCUCGUGGGUUGCCAAGGUAACCGUGUGGCAAGGCCACUAGGUCACUGGACCCAGCCUCAUGAGCAUGGUGAUGCCUUCCGCGGGCAACAGGCUGAGUCACCUCCAGAGGCCCUGGGGCUGCGGUGGCCACGGGGAGAGGGGGCUUUGUGGUGUCGGUCCCCGCUGCCCACUGCCUGGGCCUCUCCACAUGCACCGUGUGCCCUUCUGCUCUGCUGCCUUAGGAUGCAGUGGAGACCCUCAGCAGGGCCGGCUCCUGGCUUGGGACCUUGCACCCUUCAGAACUGUGAGCCCAAUGAGCCUCUCCUCUUCUGGAUCACCCAGGCCCCAGGCAGAAUUUAAGGAGCAACACAAAAUGGACUUAGUCCCACUUCACAGGGAGGGAAACUGAGGCUGCCAAGAUCUCAUGACGACCCGAGGUGGCCCUGCAGAGUUGCCCAGGUGGAGCCUGAAGGAGCACCGUUGGGUUUCGCUCUUGCCUCUGUUGGUGGUCUUCUCGUUUCUGCUAAACCAGAUGGUGAGUUCCCUGAAGAGAGAUCGUCACCGUGUUCCCCAGGGCCUGGCCCUAGGUCUGGCACCUGGGAAAACCGGUGAUGGGGAAAUGAAUGCAUGGCGGGUGGAUGGGGAGAGGGAGGGGGAGAGGGAUGCUGUAGAGGACGGAGGGGUGGUGGGUGGAGGGGGAUGGUGGGGGGAUGGAUGGUAGAUGGUAGAUGGAAGGAAAGAUGGGUGGGGAGGUGGAUGGUGGGUGGAUUGAUAGAUGGAUGGUGGGCGGGUGGUGGAUGGAAGGGUGGUGGCUGGAUGGUGGGUAGAUGAUGGAUGGUGGGUGGAUGGAUGAUGGGUUGGUAGUGGAUGGUGGGUGGGUGGUAGAUGGAUAGAUGGAUGGUGGAUGGUGGGUGGGUGGAUGGAUAGUAGGUGGAUGGAUAGAUGGAUGGUGGAUGGUGGAUGGGUAGUGGAUGGAUAGUGGGUGGGUGGAUGGUGGAUGAUGGAUGGAUAGAUGGAUGGUGGGUGGAUGGUGGAUGGUGGAUGGUGGGUGGGUGGUGGAUGGAAGGGUGGUGGAUGGUGGGUGGUGGAUGGAAGGGUGGUGGAUGGUGGGACAUGGAUGAGAGGAGGAGUAGAGUGCAGGUGUGUCGUGAGCAGGUGACUGAAUACAUAGGAAGAACUAAUCAAGGCUGGGCUGGGGCUCAGUGGCAGAGUGCUCACCUCGCCUGCGUGAGGCCCUGGGUUCGAUCCUCAGCACCACGUAAAAAUAAAUAAAUAAAGUCAUUGUGUCCAUCUACAACUAAGAAAAAAGUUCACACACACCAAAAAGGAACUAAUCAAAUGACGUGAACUUCCCAGGGCCAAGGUGCCCGUUCCUGGACGUUGGAUGUGUCCUUCGGCGUGGGCACCUCCAGACAGGUUUGACUCCAGACAGGUUUUAUUUGGGUUUAAAUUUUUUGAAACAAGUUGUUACCAUUUAAAAAUUGGGGCUUUCACAUUUAAAAAUCUAUUAAAAAAAAAAUCUGUGGGGACUGGGGCCAGGGCUCAGCGGUGGAGCUCGGCUCGCACGUGCGAGGCCUGGGUUCGAUCCUCAGCACCACGUAAAAUUAAAUAAAGUGAAGGCCUCGUGUCCUGCACCAGACCUCGCUCCACAGCAGGGAAAUGGAAAGGCGCAGAGAGACGACGGGAGGGGACUUCUUUAUGAGGGGGGACAUCUCUGUGGCUCUGGGCAUGAGCAGCCCCUCCUGGGGGCAGGGGGAUGUGGUGCUCACAGGCACAGACCCAAGGUCUGCCCAGGCCCCGCUGUGGCACCCUGUGGCCCUGUGCCCUGCGCAAGGCGCUGGCUCCCCCUGGGCUUGGCCCUCCUCAUCUGUGGAGAGGAGGUGCCCGUGCCCCCUGGCGGGUGCCAGUCUGCUCCCAUGGGAUGCUCUCCGUGUGAGCUGCCAUUGUCUUGGGCAGGGCUGGACUCUGUCACCUACUUGCCGUCUGUGGUGGCUGAGGGCAGCCAUCCCCAGUGGAGGGCAAUUGUGCCCCAACCCAGGGGCAUGUGGCAAUGUCCAGAGACGUCUUGGGUUGUCACCAUUUUACUGGGGAGAGGCCACCAACACCUAAUGGGUAGAGGCCAAAAACUGUGGGGAGCCACACUGAGUGACCACGCCCUCCAGUCCUGAUGCGCCAGGGGAUCUGGAAAGAUCUCUGGAGCUUGGCGCGGCAGUGCCAUGGCUCCAGACUUGGUCUUUGCCCCACUCGAGUGGCAAGGCCAGCCUUCUGAGAGGCAUUCCCCUGGUUGAGCUCCACUCACCUGUUCUUUUGUAAUCCUACCCCUUUGCCCUGUUUGGGAUAGAAUGUUCCCCGGAAAUUCCCUUUGUGUGUCCCCUUCUCUUGCUCUGCCCUUGGGUGUGGCCUUCCUAGCUGUCAGUCAACCUGCCGACAGCAGACAUAAUGAAGCCAGACUCAACCCCCCCAAACCUGACCCCUGGCCUGAUUUGAAUGGCUUCUCCCCAAUAAAAGGGCCUCUCUCUCUCUCUCUCUCUCUCUCUCUCUCUCUCUGCCUCUCCAGGGAGGCAGAGGCUGAAGAGGCUGCCCCAGGUGUGAUAAGACUCUGGCCCUGAGCCAGCCCAGCCCCUGGAUCUCAGGCCCAGGAUAAUCCCAGCCCAGGGUGCCUGGACCCAGCUGGUUCCCAGCCCAAACACCAGGCAGGAAUGCAUCCCUGGCGCCCCCCAGUGGCCUGGACCCUGAGCUAUAUGAUACGCCCACCUGGAGUGGAGGAGGGGGCCCUCCCAGGGCCUUUCUUCCAGCCAAUUGGCAGAGGAUGUGGAAGCAGCAGAAGUUGAGAAGACCAAUUGAUGUGAACUUGAUCUCAGCUCUUCCACCAGCUCUCUGGGAGACCUUGGACAAAUGCCAUGACUCCUCUGCCUGUUCCUUCAUCUGCAAAGUGGGACAUGUUCCCGACUGCACAGUGCUGCUGGGAGUUGAUUAAGUGAGGGUUAGAUGGCGCACCUGGGCCGCGUCCCAGUCCUCCCUCCGAGGCGUGCUGUUGCUGCCUUCAUGUCAAACCCAGAGCUGUUUGCAUCUGAUGAACUUCCAACGUGCCCCAAAAGAUUUUUAAAUAAUGGCAAAAUACACAAUUUUGUUGCAAAGCCACCAUUACAGAUGUGGAAAGAGAGCCACAUAAAAUAACCGCUGGCCUCGGAAAUACUGUGCGUAAGGGAUAUCACUUUUGUUUGAGGUGUUUAACAGUGUGCGUUCACAAUACAUAAGAGAGACAAAGACCUCACUUUCCCAGUAUGUAAAGAGCUCCUGCAGAUCAAUACAAAGGUGAUCAUCCAAUAGAAAAGGAACGGUGAUUGGCCACCAGAAAAACGACACAAAUGGCCUUUGAGUAUGUUUUAAAUUCCAAACCCUAACAUAGAAAGGAAACCCCCCACCCCACCCCCCAGGCUGGAACAGAAGCCUUCUCUAUUGGCAAGGCCAAGUCCACAAGUCUGAGGAUCCGGGGCCGUGGUUAGAAUGAGGAGGAAGCAGGCUCACAUAGGUUGGGUCCCCCUUAGACAGCACUUAGACGCUCAUUGUCAAAGUUCAAAAAUGCACCUGGGCAGUUCCAUGGCUAGGAAUUUGUCCUGCAGAAAUAACAGACCCAGGACCCAUUCUGGGGGAAGGACGCUGACCACUGCAUUGCUCCCUACAGCAAGCCUGAAACUACCCCGGGGACCAUCACCCGGAAGCUGGGUGGGACGCCGCUACAUCCAGACGGUGGACUUCGUGAAGAGCGCUCUCGAGGCUGAUCUGGAAAGAGCCCCCCCUCCAAGUACGUGGUCAGUGGGUAAAGGAGUGAGUGGAACCCGGCCCUGGGCAGGGGUGGAGCGGCUGCUGUUUGGAGAAGGCCGCGGGGGAGCUGGGCCCCCGGCUUCUCUGCAUUCUGGAUCUCCGUGGGGAUCCCCAAGAAGUGGUGACCCGCGUGGCGGCUGGGCGGGGACAGGGAGAGGCAAGGAUUGGAGGGAAAACAUCCACCAUAAAUCUCCAGGAACCUUUUGAACUGUUUAAAGUGUGAGCACAGUUUCCCAUUAAGUAUUUGGGAGGUUUUUAAAGCCUUGAUAGAUGGAGGAAAGAAACUCCAGGUGGGACCUUCUUCCAGGGCGGGGUGACGCUUCUCUCUGGGUGACUUAUUUUCUUCUUUUUACUUAAACCGAUUUUCUAAUUAAAAAAUAAUAAUUCUCAAAAUAAAUUGAGGCCAAAAAAAAAUUUUUUUAAAUUUUAUUUAAAAGCAAGACCUGGGCGUUUUCUUGGCAGUCAGAGGAAAAACCAACUCUGUUAAUCAAUUAAAACAAAACAAAACAAAAACUUCCUAAAUGGUCAGAUUGCUGUCAUGGCCAAGAACAUUCAUUAGCGAGUGGUCAGGUAGUUGGAAAUCUGUUCUGUGGACACUGCGACGUCGUACGCUGUCCACCGCGCACCUGCUAGGCAGGAUCCCAUCGUCUACCUCUCUGCGGUGAAAUCCUGACCUGCCACUUAUUACUGGGGCACACUAAGCCACCCCAACUCUCUCCGCCUCGGUUUCCUCCUCUGCAACACGAGGAGGCCAUACAGCUGACAGCAGGAGCCUGUCCAGCGCUUAGCUCCAGGUAUCCGCAGAGAGGGGCUCCGUCCAAGCAGGGAACCGGCAGGAAUUCUGCACCAGGAGGACCCCGAGGAGGAAGGCCAGGAUGGGGCCCUUCGCCUCUCCCGGGAUCAGUGCGCAGAGUCCCGCACACCACCCGGCUCAGCGCCGCGCUCCUCCGACAGUUUGGAGAGAGUGACACCAAGUGGUCAUGUCUGGAGCUGAGUCCCCCGGCCUCCAGCCCUGGCCUUGAGCAAACGUGAAUCCUAGGUUUUCUGGGCUGUAAAGCGGAGGCGACGCUGCCCACCGGGCAGAGCCGAGGGGAGGAGGAAGCCCCGAAACCCGCGGAAAUCCGCUCGCGGGCCGCUGUGCCGCACGACUGCAGGGGCUUCGCUGGUGGCAUUGCGCAAAGCAGCGCCCCUCAGCACGUGGCUGCCCUUAGCGUUUCGCCCUCAGACCCCCGAUUGCCUUCCCCCACCUCCCCCAGCGUGAUGGUCAAGCAAAGUCUCCCCAAGAGCCCAGAGCGCGCGUGGGGCACCGCGGGCCAAGGCCACUCCUCUGCACCCCCCGGAGGACAUCUGGGCCACAGUCUCCACGGGACUCCAGCGAAUCUUGCGCCUUCCUUACACUUACCGGUGCCCCUUCUUAAUUACUAGAGCAAGCUGCAGGCUCGGAGUCCCCAGAAGGCAAGAUUAGGCUGGACUUACUGAAUUACAUGUUCUCGCAAUGUUUACGUUUUGCGGUCAGGUGCUGAUGGCCUUCCCUCCCAGUAGACGUGGUGGAUUGCGUUACUGUCAAAGUCUUCCUUUUAUUGGCUGUUCCCCGACGACCCUCCCUGCUGGAGUCAGGCCUGGCUGUGACCUCCUUUGGCCGAUCCGUGUGAGCUAAGCUCCCUAGGAGAAGCCUCCGGAGCCAUCCCUGGGUCUCCAUUUGAUCUCUUCUCUCUGCUGGGACAGCGGCCUACCCCAGGGGCGCCCGCACCUCCAACAGGGACCUGAGCAAAGGAGGCCCCCGGACCAGAGCUGCAGCCAGCCCCCACCAACGAGUCCUCUGAAUGACAAACUCGCCUUGCGGGAGCACCUCCGGGGAAUCCGAGUUUUACUGCAGCGACGCCUAGCCCCGGUGGACUGACGCACUGGACACAAAGUUUCCUUUAAAAAUGAAUGUAC